rnacentral:rRNA from 1 species
UACAGAGGGUGCAAGCGUUGUUCGGAAUUAUUGGGCGUAAAGGGCGCGUAGGCGGUGCGGUAAGUCUGUAGUGAAAUCUCUGGGCUCAACUCAGAGUCUGCUGCAGAAACUGCCGUGCUUGAGUGUGGGAGAGGUGAGUGGAAUUCCCGGUGUAGCGGUGAAAUGCGUAGAUAUCCGGAGGAACACCAAUGGCGAAGGCAGCUCGCUGGGACGGUACCGACGCUGAGACGCGAAAGCGUGGGGAGCAAACAGG